rnacentral:misc_RNA from 1 species
UUUCCGUAGGUGAACCUGCGGAAGGAUCAUUAUUGUAUAACCGAGGUGCGAGGGCAGUCGCUGACCCGAAAGGUCGUGCACGCCCGAGUGCCCUCACACACAUCGAUCUCACCCCUAUGUGCACCACCGCGUGGGUCCCCCUUUGGCUUGUUCGGAGGGGGGCUUACGUUUUCACACAAACUUUGUAUGCAGUGUAGAAUGUAUUUUUUGUUUUUGCGAUCACGCAAUCAACACAACUUUCAACAACGGAUCUCUUGGCUCUC